AGUGAACGCUGGCGGUAGGCCUAACACAUGCAGGUCGAACGGCAGCACAGUAAGAGCUUGCUCUUACGGGUGGCGAGUGGCGGACGGGUGAGGAAUACAUCGGAAUCUACUUUUUCGUGGGGGAUAACGUAGGGAAACUUACGCUAAUACCGCAUACGACCUACGGGUGAAAGCAGGGGAUCUUCGGACCUUGCGCGAUUGAAUGAGCCGAUGUCGGAUUAGCUAGUUGGCGGGGUAAAGGCCCACCAAGGCGACAAUCCGUAGCUGGUCUGAGAGGAUGAUCAGCCACACUGGAACUGAGACAAGGUCCAGACUCCUACGGGAGGCAGCAGUGGGGAAUAUUGGACAAUGGGCGCAAGCCUGAUCCAGCCAUACCGCGUUGGUUAAGAAGUCCUUCGGGUUUUAAAGGCCUUUUGUUGGGAAAGAAAAGCAGCAGGUUAAUACCCCGCUGUUCUGACGGUACCCAAAGAAUAAGCACCGGCUAACUUCGUG
rnacentral:rRNA from 1 species